GGGUGAGUAACACGUAUGGAACCUGCCCGUAGCAGGGGGAUAAGCGGAAGAAAUUCCGUCUAAUACCGCGUAAUAACUCCGAGAGGCAUCUCAUGGAGUUUAAAGGGUAACACCGGCUACGGAUGGCCAUGCGGCGCAUUAGCUAGUUGGCGGGGUAACGGCCCACCAAGGCGACGAUGCGUAGGGGUUCUGAGAGGAAGGUCCCCCACACUGGUACUGAGACACGGACCAGACUCCUACGGGAGGCAGCAGUGAGGAAUAUUGGUCAAUGGGCGCGAGCCUGAACCAGCCAAGUCGCGUGAGGGAAGGCGGUCCUAUGGAUUGUAAACCUCUUUUGUCGGGGAGCAAAAGACGUCACGUGUGGCGUUCCGAGAGUACCCGAAGAAAAAGCAUCGGCUAACUCCGUGCCAGCAGCCGCGGUAAUACGGAGGAUGCGAGCGUUAUCCGGAUUUAUUGGGUUUAAAGGGUGCGCAGGCGGAAGAUCAAGUCAGCGGUAAAAUUGAGGGGCUCAACCUCUUCGAGCCGUUGAAACUGGUUUUCUUGAGUGAGCGAGAAGUAUGCGGAAUGCGUGGUGUAGCGGUGAAAUGCAUAGAUAUCACGCAGAACUCCGAUUGCGAAGGCAGCAUACCGGCGCUCAACUGACGCUCAUGCACGAAAGUGUGGGUAUCGAACAGGAUUAGAUACCCUGGUAGUCCACACAGUAA
rnacentral:rRNA from 1 species